UACAGAGGUGGCAAGCGUUGUUCGGAAUUACUGGGCGUAAAGGGCUCGUAGGCGGCCAACUAAGUCAGACGUGAAAUCCCUCGGCUUAACCGGGGAACUGCGUCUGAUACUGGAUGGCUUGAGUUUGGGAGAGGGAUGCGGAAUUCCAGGUGUAGCGGUGAAAUGCGUAGAUAUCUGGAGGAACACCGGUGGCGAAGGCGGCAUCCUGGACCAACACUGACGCUGAGGAGCGAAAGCCAGGGGAGCAAACGGG
rnacentral:rRNA from 1 species